ACAGUGUUUGCGCGAUGUUGGUUAGAGAAGGAGUGCGAUUCGUUGCUGUAGCUUCAUUAUGACUUCUCAACAUUUUCCACUCACUAUCGAUUGAACAUUGAUUGUGUGAGCCAAUUGACAGUGAUAUUGAUGUUGGAUUGCAAAAGUUUUGAAUGAGUUGAGUCAAUUUUGUUCAUUAAAUUUCACAUCGUUAAUUGUGAGGUCUGUGAGGUGAACAAAGAACAACGAAUUUUUCUGUGUGGACUUUUCAAAUUGCGUUCACCAUUGGAAUCCAUGACAAAAAGCCAUUCCACUUGUGACUGUAUUCGUGACUUUGGAGUAUUGUUUUUUUUUUUACUUUGGUGCACAGAACUUGGGCUAGAAACUUACCUGGUUUAGCUCGCCUCACAUUUUCUGAGGAUCUGGCACUGGGCCGACUUCCAAAUGGUGGGAACCAUGUACAAAAUUCCUACAAUUUAAUAGUAUACUGUUUAGCAUUGUGAAAUAAUCUUAUCCAAGUGACACAGAAAAAAAGCACGACACCGUCUGGACACGGUGUGUGUUGUGUUCAAAAGUGUGAAAUGUGAAAAAGGUACAUUUUUUCACUUUCAGACUUUUUGUGCUUUAGUUUUUUAAUUGUUAUUCAAAAGUUGCAUCCCCCAAAAUGGAACAAACUCUUUAAGUGUUGUGUUACAGUUCUGUAGAAAAGAAAACCUUCUUCACCUUUGACAAAUCUUAAAUGACUGAAAGUAUCCCUGGUGAUCGUAUCGUUGGUCCUGCUUCAUUAUGACUUGGCACUGGUGGAGUCAUUGGUUCUGGAUUACAUUAACCCUUGGGACGGUCUUACAUGCCCUACCCAUGAGCUCUGUUACAAGUGACACACACUUGGGGCAGCUCAAGAUACUCGAGGCACGUGAGAAGAUUUACAGCAAACGAGAGCCCCUCAAGUUUCCAAUUGCAGCUCAAACAGAUGGGGAUGAUGAGGUGUUUGGUGUGGAUAGAGCAUUUGCUGCUGUCGAAGUUUCCGAUGGUGGACGUCUCAAUUGGAUUUCUUCGCAUCAUUCCGAAAAGGAGAAGUCAAUUAAGCGUACAGAAAAUUCUACAUUUGAGAUAAGCUUGAUAGACAACAAUUUCACCCACUCGGAUGCCAAUCUUCACCGAAAGGCCAACAUCACAGAUAAGAAUCCAGUAGAUAUGUCGAACAAAACUUAUGAGGAUCAAGCACGAAAUUCAACAGAGUUUGUUGAAGCCGAAAGACAGCCAGAUCAGACGGAGGAAAAUAAAACGGAGAGUGAUACUGUACGUCCUGAAAUCAGUGUAAUUCAGAAUGAUACAGUAGAUAUGGAAGUAGAGCUGCAAGAGAACGAUACAAUCGAGGUGGAUCGUCAAGGGCGAAAGUCCAAGGUGCUCACUGAGUAUACCGAUGAUCUCAGGAUAGCUAAUCUGACGACGGAAACAAAAAAUUUACUUGCGCGAUCCGCUGCAUCCUCUGUGACUUCCGUUAAUGAUGAUGAAUUGGGCAGCGAAUUAUCCGUGCACGCUUUCUCAGCUCAGCACACCUCGUCCCUAAAUGCUGGCGCAAUUUCCGGCAUUUGUUUGGCUGUUAUAUUCAUAUUUGUUGGUGCUGGGCUUACAGGGAUGAUUCUGUACCGAAGGCGCUACAUCAACAAACCUCAAACUCUCAGUGAACCAGAUUCAAGUGGAUACAUAGACGACAGUACAAUAAGAGAUAAUUCUGACGAAAUGUACAGCUUGGACAAUGAUUCCUUCCUGAAUUCUCUGGAGGCGAUGACAAUUCAAAAUUAUUGGACAGAUAAUGUGAAGCAUACAAAAUUGUAAAUCAUUCGAUCUUGAUACAUAUACGACAUGUGUAGUUUUAGAAACUCAAUGUUAGGAAAAAUGAUCUUAAUAUUCACCUAAUUGUUAGGAUUCAACGGAAUUAAGUACAAGUUGAUAACAUUAAAUUUUCUGUAGCCACCAUUAAUCAUUAUAAUUUAAGUUUAUUCCGCAGUGUACGCAAAGUAGAAUUUUUCGAGAAAUUGUGAUAAAUGUUUCCAUGAAGAUGUCAACAUCUUAUUAUAUUUAUAAAUAGAAUUACAUUCGCUAUAACCGUCCUCUACUUAUAAUUCACACUUCCAUGAACUUAAGCAGUUGUAGUAUAAGUUAUAAUUGUAAAAUGAAUAAAAUUAUAAAAAUAAAUGUGCAACAACCGUU